GACCAUAGAUAUGGAGUCCAGGUGUGUUUGAUGCUGCUGGGCAGACUGACCACUGGGAACUUCUGAGCUCUCCUGGUCCACGCUCUUUUCAGCAGAGUGAGG